ensembl:lncRNA
CCCGAGGGGGCCUGCGAGCCAGCAAUGGCAAUGGCAGUGCAGAGAGUGAGAGGACUGAAUUGUGAGAUUAGUUGGUAUCACUCCAGCUUGACCUAAAAACACCCUUCUGAUUGGGUGGCCCAGAUCAUUCUUGGAAAGCUCUUCUGUGUCCUGAUGUAGAAGAGAGAGCAAAUUGGACAUCGUGAAAGGUGAGGGUCGCCGUUGAGAAGGGCUUCCUGGACUCCUCACCUCCAGGAUGAGCACUGCAGUGUCGUGACCCGUGGGGUUUUGGUGAGUAGGCCGAUGGGUGAUGGAGUGGAACUCACGUCUGGCUUAGAAAGAUGAUCUUGGGGAAAAGCUUUCCAUUUUAUUCAGUAGAUUUUUGUUUUGCCUUCUGUCACCCAGCUCCCCCCUCUUCAUCCCAUAGCUCCUGAUAACCACCAUUCUCCUGCCUAAUUCUGAGUUCAACUUUCUAGAUUCUGCAUAUAAGUAAGCUCAUGUGAUGCUGGCUUUCUGUGCCAGGCUUACUUUAUUUAACAUAAUAUCUUCUAGGUUCAUCUGUGUUGUUGAAAAUGAUAGAUUUCAUUCUUUUUUUUAAGGCUUUUUCUUUUUUCAAAGGCCUUUUUUUUAUGGCUCUUUGUUUGUUUUUUUUGUUUUGGUACCGGGGAUUGAACUCAGGUCCUUGAGCUUGCGCAGCAGGCGGCGAAACCACUGAGCUAACCAGCCCG